AUGUCUGAUGACUCAAGGACUGUCCCUCAGGAGCAGCUCCCCUCCGACAACCUCCACCCGCCGCCAAUGCCGGUGAUCAACGUGGGUCACCUCAACCUUGACCCAGCGACACGAGCUCGUGUGGUUGAAGAUAUUACCAAAGCAUGCCGUGAUCUAGGAUACUUCCAGAUUAUAAACCAUGGGAUCAGUCAAUCUGUCAUGGAUGGAGCUGUUGAAGCAGCUUCAGAUUUCUUCAAACUGCCAAGUGAGACAAAGGAAGAGUUUGCAUCAGACGACCUCCGACGGCCUGUUAGAUAUGACACCAGCUCAAAGGACGGCAUUAGUAUGUCACGGGCAUACCUAAAGCAUUAUGCCCAUCCCCUGAGUGAAUGGAUGCAAUAUUGGCCGGAAAACCCCCCAAUCUACAGGGAGUAUAUGAGAAAUUUUGCUACUGAAGUAAGGAGGGUGGCCUUGCAACUAAUGGAAGCCAUACUAGAAGGCCUAGGAUUGGGUAAGGGUUACCAGCAUGAGAAAUUUGAGCAAGGACUGCAGCUAAUGUCAGUGAAUUGCUACCCGAAAGAAUCAGAAGGUGAUACAGCGAUAGGGCUGGCGCCGCAUUCCGAUUAUGGAUUCCUCACCAUCUUGUUCACAAGUUGUCGAGGCCUGGAGGUCGUCGACCGCAACAGCAACAGCUGGAAAGUGGUCCAGCCACUGCCACAUGCAUUGCAUGUCCACGUAGGAGACCACAUGGAAGUCCUGAGCAAUGGCAAAAUCAAGACUGUUGUGCACCGAGCUGUUCUGAAUCCUGAAGAGGCAAGGAUCUCCAUGGCCAGCAUUAAUGGUUUUGCAAUGCAUGAGAAGGUCUCCAGUGCCAGAGAGCUCGUGAACGAGCAGAAUCCUGAAAAGUACAACGCGAGCAGUUUUAAUGACUUCCUCGACUAUCUCACAAGCAAUCUGGACAACAAGCACCGGAACUUUCUUGAGAGCCUUAGGAUGCAAGGGGCGUAG
rnacentral:rRNA from 1 species